GGAACAUUGGCCUACUUACGAGUCGUUUCCUGUUUUGAGAACUUGUUCCACACAAGAACGACUUGGACCCAAGCCCUGGAAAGACAUAGAAUCACAAAAAAUAGCAUAAAAAAUAUUCCCAUGCUCAUCAUCACAAGCAGCAGGAGUUCGCUCCGGUUUCCCUCGAUGUUCAUCAUCCUUCUCGGUGGAUCGAGGCGAUCCGCGUCUUCUACAGUCCACUUUGGAAAAGUUGCUACCGUUUGUAAAGUUUGGGAAUUUAAAUCGCCUGAAAGAAUUCCUCACAUCCCCGGGAGAUCUCGGAGCAGGGGCGACUGUUUCCUCCGGCGACUCGGUUUCUCUUUUGGAAACGUUUAUUUCGACCACACACACAGUGGAGUGCGGACAGAGUCCCCCUCUGGCCUCCCCCCGUUGCGUUGCAACGUCAGCGCGGAGGUGGCUGUACCAAGCCAAGCCUUCAGACUGCAACAUCUGGAGAACAGCUCAACAGCUUCCAGACCGGGCAGAAAAGGAGGGGAGAGAGGGGGAGAGAGAGAGGAGACGAGAGGGAAGGGGGGAGGCCCAGGCUGUGGAAUAACUGUGGUUUUUCCGACUUCCCCUUAAUUUGAGGAAAAUGUGUGCUGCUGGCUGGAAUACUUUUAAUGAGUGGGUGUACAGCUCUUUCUGUUUAUAAUUUACCCAGCACUUUCCAUAAAGAGAAAGUUACGCAUCUUAUAUAAUAUUUACUUGAUGAGUCAAUGUAAUUUUUAUAUUCCAUGUCAAUGAAGCUCUGUUGAAUACAAUUGAGAGACUAAUUAAAGUAAAUCCUAGUUCCCCUUACAACUGAUCCCACAUUGCAAUGAUAUUCCAUCUGACAAAGAUGUUCUUUCAUUAUUCUCAUAAGUCUGCUCAAUAUCCACACAAAAGUGACCCUCUGAUAGGUAUUUGUGUACACACUGCGGACCGACUCUUGCU
ensembl:lncRNA